CAAAUCAAGAGAACUGAAAGCAGCUGGAACACAGGCCUUUCUCAGAGCUCGGGAUUGGAUCAAGCCCUAAUUAAACCUGCAUCCAAAAGGCUGGAUGGAGCUGCCUUUGCUCACACUAAUGAAGCUUCAGUUUUCCUCUAUUGUAUUGCUAUACCGUGGACUCCCACUUCUUUGCCCUGCACUGACAGCAAGUCUGAUCUCCAGUGCUAAAGACAGGUUUAUUUAAUGUCUUCUGGAGUUUUAUUUGUGUCUUACUAUGGAGCCUUCACAUCACAGGGCUCAGCUUCCCUCUCUGGGUAAAUAGGUAGAGGCUGAACAAGACAGCUCUCCCAAAGUGGGACUGUCACUGGAUGAUGGCUCUGUCUCUGUGAUAUUGAAAACAGACAUCAAGGCACUUUUCACUAACACAUUCCAUCAAUGCUAGAGACUUGUCACACAGGGAGCAAACACCAAGUGAAGCAAAGGAAGCAUUUACAAUUUGCUGCCAUGAAAGGAGACAAGAUAAAUCAAUAGGAACUAAAUUAGCACAGUCAGCGGCCCUCACACCUACUUUGGAAACUCUAUUAAAAUCCAUGGCCUAGAAUUUGCAGGAGGGAUUAUGUGCGUGAAGGGAUUUGUGGAUUGAUGACAGCAUCCCUCUGACAAGCUGAGGUACAGGAAGACUUGCUAAAAGCCAAGUGGAGUUCAGCUGGUUGAAGACCUCUCAUUAUCUGCCUUGCUUGCAUGUCUGCAUUUGGUGAUGUGCUGAAGUGCGGUAUCACCAAAGUUAGACCCACCAGAAACUCAAGACAACAAUGUGGAACGAUGGUGUCUCCCUGCUCUGAGCUAUCUCCGUUGGAAAGGAGAUGGAAAUGAAGACAAAUGGAAAGGUUGGAAAUGAAGACGUUGGAAAGGUUUUGGAAAUGAAGACAAAUGGAAAUGUAGCCCCUGGACUUGUUAUUACUGUUACUCAAAAGCCUCAGGCAUCCAAGCUCUGGCCUGUUUGGCCAGUUGCCCUAUGCUGCUGAGGAUGCUCUGCUCCUUUUCACUAGAAAGCAAAAGCAGUUUUGUGCCCAACAGGCGAUGGACUUUUCUCUUGCUUUUUUUUGGUCUCCUCCACUGCCUUCCCCUUCAAGAGGAGAGCAAAGGGUGGUGCAGCCUGUGGGUUUAACUGGACACCAUCCCUUUAAUGUGGACUUGUGUCCAAAAAUAAAUGCUACUGAAGGACUAAACAGAUGUGAAAAGAAGGCUUGGACACUUGGAAGACAAGACUGCUUUGUGUUUCCCAAAGCAAAGAGCCUGUUCACAAGGAGGUUACUUUUUUCGACAAACACUAGUCCUGUGACACUGCCAAGGCAUGGAACAUGCAUCAGUUGCCAAUGGAAGAGCUUCCAUCGAUCUUCCAUCUUUUUGGGACAGCAGUAUGGCCUUAGUGCUGUGAAUUGGCCCUGUACAGUCACUUUGAGCUAAGCCUCUGCUGCUUGUCCUGGCUGCAUGUCUGGGACAGGUCAAUCCACAGUCUUGGUGAGCUUUGCUUUCUUCAAGAACCAGGCAGAAUUCAAAGCAAAUAGCUUGGCACAGGCACCUCGUUUUCAGGUGAGCAAGGUCUGACUGCUGCAGCGAUCUCAGUGGGGCUAGGAGGCUUUGUACUUCACCUCAGGCACUUAACUAAUUCCUCAUAGAGUGCAGUAUGUUCUGAAGUGUGAUCUUUAUGUCUCAGUUAUCUAUAAAAUGAAAAUGCUAGUUCAUCCUGAGAAGGGUUACAGUGUCUCUCACACACACAAGAAAGGCAGGUGAAGUUCUUUCACUGUCUCUAAAGCUCUGAGCUCUGAGUCAUCCAGAGCCUCUGAGGACUCUGGUUGAAAUUUUAAGGGUACCUCAUUAUGGCUGAAUCUCCAGCACUGUCUGCAGUCACACGCCAAAGUAUUCAUCUCACAAAGGACAAAUGAUGAGAAAUUAAGCGAACAAAAGAGUGCAGUCAACUGCACUGAAGACCUGAGGAGCUGAAUGUGAUGGGAACUGGAUUCCAAAACUGGCUGGAAUGUGCAGGAGGACAAACCCUGAAGGGAAACACUCCAAAACUAGUGGGAUAAACAACCAGCCCCAAACAUAUGCAGGAGUUUGCUGAGAGCAGGCAAGCGAUGGGCAGGUCUCAGCAGCAAUGGGGUGUUCAGGUGCAGCCAGGGACUGAAAUCAGAGGUCUGGAGGGGAACCACUGCAGGAAAUGAUGAUCAUCAUCAAAUGUCUUUGGAGCCCAUCACCCUGCACAGGGCUGAGCCCCUGUGCCGGGGGCAUGCUCAGUCCAGCCGUUCGGGACCUGCUUUAUCAGCUACUCUGUCAUCUUUGCCAGGAGUGUGGCAUCAGAGACGAGUGUUGGGGCAAGACUGGAGGCACUAUUUGCCUCAGUCUUCCCAUUUUAAUUUGCUGAGGUUAGAAAAUAUAAGGGUAGAAUGAGAAAUGUCUAAUGUAAAGUUAUGAAUCAGAUUUUGAAAAGGAAAUGAAACAGAUGGUAGAAGGUUUCAGUUAGAUAAAUACAGAAGAGGAAAAGAGGAGAAACGUGGCCAUCAUGUAGUGAGAAUCAGAUUGAGAUUAGACCAGUCUACAUAUGGUCCAAAAUGAAUUAAAACCACUUUACCUAUGUUUUCAGCAGAGAUGAUUAUAUUGGACAAUGGGACAAAGAUGAGAUUCCUAGUAGGAACAUACUUAAGGGAAUGAAAAUUAUCACAUGUAAGACAGAAGGAAAAGCUUAAAGAAUUCCAUGUGCUCAGAUCAAGGUGCCCUGGCAGAUUUCCACCUCAGGAUUUGGAAAGAGCUGGCACUUUAAAGGAGCUCAGUGUAACCUUGUAUUUCUCUUUGAUGACUGACUUUUUUUCCCAAGACAAAUGAAAUACAGGUGAUACACUCUAUCCAGACAUGAGUCAAGAGUUUGAUAUUACACCACAUGGGAAAUCAGUAGUUGAAGUUGAGAAGAUGGGGAUUAGUGUGGAUGGCAAUGCAGAACUGCUAAAGCGAAGGACAGGGAGCUCUGUGGGAAGGAGAAAUGCCCGACAGAGAGUGGAACUCCUCAAGGGUCAGUCUUGAGCCAGUCUUGUUUUGUUAAUGACUCUGGCACAGCUGUAGGAAUGUCAUACAGAAAUUUGCUGAGGACACAGGCUUUGCUAAUAGAGAGAAGGAUCAGAACAUCAAUCAGCAAUAACUUAAUGACAGAAUUUGAGAUAGAAUAGACAAAGUAGAAAGACAGGCAGUUAAAAAUUAAUCACUAGAAUAUCACAUUACUCACUUGAGAAUGACAAAAGCAGGGUGGUAAAAAAAAAAAACACAUAGAGAGAAUUACUUGCUCUGAGGGAUAACUGUGAGCCACCAAUCUGAUAUGGAAAGGCAAACACAGUCCCAGAAGAUACAGGUUCACUCAUGUUCAAGGAAGAUUAGCAGGUACAGAGAAGGGCAUUAAGGAUGAUCAGAGGGUUUAGAACAAGAGGAGACUAGAAGAGGUUCAUUUGUUUAGUUUCUCAAAACAAAGACUAGAGCAGAUAGGAUUGUUUUUGGUAAAUACAUCUGAUAGGUAAAGAUCAGAGAAAAAAAGAGAACUGUUUAAACUAAAUUACGAUUCUGGCACAAGAACAAAUGAUAUUAGGGCUGGAAAUUGAAAAUGAAGUGUUAGAAUAGCCUGCCAAAAAGCGUGAUAUGAUGUAAUUGAUUGUGAUAGUGGGAGACUGGCUCAGUAAUGCUGAGCCCUGUGUUCCUAGAAACGUGCAGCAGACAGGAUUUUGGCAAAGUGGGCGCUGGCCUCUAACAAGGAGGAGGAGCCCUGUGCUGCCUGUGUGAGCAUGAGAAAGCGUAACUGGCCAGUCACCAGCUUUGGGGGGAAAAAAGGAAGCUUUGAUUUCAACAGCUAAAGUGAGGUCCUUCCCUCCUCCUCCCCUAUGGGAACUGGCAAACUCAGCUCUUUAAUGGUUCAAGUUCAUCUCAGCCUUGCCUAUAAAUAGAUAAAUGAGAUUCCUCCCGUCCCAGUGAGUAAUUCUGACAUCCUCCCGCUGCCUCAGAGAGCUGAGUCACAGGCACUCUGCACUCCAGUCCCUGCAUUACUUACAUGGUCUCAAAGGAAAUUUUAACACAUCCAGUGAAUCAUCAGGGAUUGGAUCAUGUUUAAAGUUAUUCCAUUGGCAUUUCCCUUCCAUUGUAGCAAGUCUGCCAAUACCUAAAACUUUGGCUAAUCUGGAUUCAAAACACAUUGAGGAAACAGCAUGUUGACAUAUACAGCUACUAAUAAAAAUAAUAAGAAGAACUCUUUAAAUUUGCACCAAAAAACAAAUGACCCAUAGUGGAUUUGUCUCUUGCUUUUGGACCUGUUAAUUUUGUCAGAUUCUUCCUUUUUUUGUAGCUGCUUAUUUAAAGGAACUUAAAAUUUGAAAUGUUUACUAUUCAGUCGUUAGGCCCCUAAUUUAAUCUCCUGCAGAUUUCCUGCCAAAAUAUUAUUUGCACUGAGAUGAAGCUUGCAGCCCCAUGUUCAUUCUGUCUCAGAGACAGACAUUCCUGGUAUUACCCAUAUGAAAAAUAAAAUGCCUGCAAAGCAAAGACAAAACCAGAGCAGUGUUAAGUAAAGAACACAGGGCAGUGAUACCUCACUGUAGGAGCCUCAUGGGGCAUUGUCACUUGUCACCUUGCCUUCUCCCCAGUGGUUCAGUGUGGUCUUAUUGACUUAGAAGUGACACAACAUUUGAAAUCAGAACAUCUGCCUCUCUCUCUCCCCCUCAGAAAACAUCUGGAAGAGUGGAAAAUUCUCCAGCAGAAUCUGGGGGCUGUGAAACAAAUACAGAAAUACUUCUCUCUGUUGGUUUUCUGGCUUGCCUUUCAUAUCUCAGAACCGGUUGGGACAUUUCAUUCAUUAUUACCAGACUUGGUUUCAGUCAGUGAGAAAUGCUAACAUUUGCUGGCUUGCUGCUGUAGUUUGGUAUUCUUAGACCUAAAACCUGGUUUGUUCUUUUGAUAACCCUAGGAAAUCUGUGUCUUAUUUAAAUAACAUUUUUCUAGUACCUUUUCAUCAGACAGUUCUCUGCCUGUGCACAGAUUGUUAAUAAGCGUUUGCUCCACACAUUCCAGUGUGAGCUGCAGUCGCUCCAUGAGACGCUUCUGUUGUGAGGCUUGUUGGGUUAUUUAUCAGCCCAGCACAGCUUUCACUGCCAGUUUGCUGCCAGCUGUUAACUAUACAAUAGCAUUGGGAACAAAAUCAGUUCUGGCUCUGCCAGCAGAGUUGGACAUAAUUCAGCUACCUGUUGAUAAAUGAUGAUUUGUUUAACAGCAUAAACUGUAAUAUUUUUGUAGCCAACAGUUUUCACCCUCCUCUGCAGCUGGUAAAAAAAACCUGAGGAAUUCCCAGAAGUUCCUCAUUUGUGUCUUUUUCAAGUUUUCUUACAGCAGUGUCUUGUACUGUUGUCUCUGUGCAGGAGAAGACAUCCUGAAUGGGUGAAGCAGUGGUGUCUGCAUGCUGCUGGAGUAAGGCAGCUGCAUUCCUUGGUGCCACUUGGCUGCACUCUGAAGCAGCAAUGCCCACUGGACAGCUGGGCUAUAGGGAUGCUCCAGGACAAGCCAGAGGCCUGAAAACAAGACAGGAUUUCUGUAAAGCAUUAAUCACCCCGUGCAGGGCUGGGCACUGGGAAUGGGGCAAGGGUGCUCUUGCAGCACACACAUGGUUUCUAUCUAAGCUUUGUUUCAGCUGGAUCUUUCCCACUAACACAUCCUUCUUUAACACCUUGUACUCAUUUACUUGGGGCUGUUUAGCAGCACAAAUCAAUUAAGUGCAGCAGAAACCCACUGAGACAGGGAGAGUUCCCUCUCUCUGGUUCGGCCGGGGUGGGAGGCACGCAGAGGUUAAGCUUGUGCUUUUUGCCACACAGGGAGUGAGGGUGGAGUGUGUAGCAGCCCCCAGCUCACCUCCUCUGUGGAUGCCAGCUCUCCCCAGCAGCCUCAGAGGGACUCACAGCUGCUCCAGGAGCUCUGAAGGCCUUGGGGAGCUUCUCAUCUGGCAUCAAAUAAUCAGAGAACUGGAGAGUGCCAGCCCUGUUGCUAUAUCCCACUGAGAUUGGCCAGGGAGCCUCACUGAACAGGGCUGAGCAGUCCUGAGGUACCAGCUGUGUCCUGUAGCAGGGACAGGGUACAGUGAAGGCCUCCAAGCUCACGUUCAUGUGUCUCACAGGUUUGUCCAUCAUGAAAUUGCCUGUACCUGCUGGGGAGGUCACUGCUCAGUGGUUUAACUGGUCCCACUGGCCAGAGGGACAUGCAGGGGUUUAGGAAGUAGCAAAGUCAUAAAAUAUGAAUGAGAACAGAGUCAGAAAAAAUGAGUGGCUUUAAAAUAAUCAUUUGUUUGGUCUUGUUCCAAGUGCAGCACCAGCUCAGCGUGCCAAGCAGAGCUCAGGAAGUGCCUUCCGGCUGUCAGCCCCAUGGGAACGGGAUGCAGGGAUGUGCCUCUGCUUCAGGCCAGGCUGGAGCUUCUCACACACAGCACAGGCCCCAGAAACAUGAGACAGUAAUUCAAGCCACAUGAUAAAGCUGAUCCACACAAUGAAGGAAGAUAAAGCCUAACCAAGCAAUUCCUGCUCCUCAUGGGUGUCUCUCAGGAGGGCCUGAGGCUGUAGGACAUGCCCUCAGCUCACAGAGACCAUUAAUCAUGAGUGUGCCAUAGUCCCUGGCUAUUUUAAUCACUGUUGAAAUACACACUCCUAAAAAUGGUAUUUGAUUCCAAUGCACAUGAUUUCCUUUGGCUUCCUUUCCCCCAGUUAAGUGCAAGCUGUAACUACUUGGAAGUCACACUGGGAUCCAU